rnacentral:rRNA from 1 species
GGGGGGGGGGGGGGGGGGGGGGGGGGGGGGCGGGUGGGGCGGGGGGGGGGGGCUGGGGUGGGGGGCUCGAGUGGCGAACGGGGGGGUAACACGUGGGUAACCUGCCCUUGACUUUGGGAUAACUUCAGGAAACUGGGGCUAAUACCGGAUAGGAGCUCCUGCGGCAGGGUGGGGGUUGGAAAGUUUCGGCGGUUGGGGAUGGACUCGCGGCUUAUCAGCGUGUUGGUGGGGUAGUGGCUUACCAAGGCUUUGACGGGUAGCCGGCCUGAGAGGGUGACCGGCCACAUUGGGACUGAGAUACGGCCCAGACUCCUACGGGAGGCAGCAGUGGGGAAUAUUGCACAAUGAGCGGAAGCCUGAUGCAGCAACGCCGCGUGCGGGAUGACGGCCUUCGGGUUGUAAACCGCUUUCGCCUGUGACGAAGCGUGAGUGACGGUAAUGGGUAAAGAAGCACCGGCUAACUACGUG